rnacentral:rRNA from 1 species
AGUGAACGCUGGCGGCGUGCCUAAUACAUGCAAGUCGAACGGAGAUUAAGUAGCUUGCUAUUUAAUCUUAGUGGCGCACGGGUGAGUAAUAUAUAUCUAACUUGCCCAUUACUAAGGGACAACAGUUGGAAACGACUGCUAAUACCUUAUACUCCGUAUCUAUAUAAGUAGAUACGGGAAAGUUUUUCGGUAAUGGAUAGGGCUAUAUCGUAUCAGCUAGUUGGUAAGGUAAUGGCUUACCAAGGCUAUGACGCGUAACUGGUCUGAGAGGAUGAUCAGUCACACUGGAACUGAGACACGGUCCAGACUCCUACGGGAGGCAGCAGUAGGGAAUAUUGCUCAAUGGGGGAAACCCUGAAGCAGCAACGCCGCGUGGAGGAUGACACUUUUCGGAGCGUAAACUCCUUUUCUUGGGAAAGAAUUAUGACGGUACCCAAGGAAUAAGCACCGGCUAACUCCGUG